UCCGUUUUAACAUUGUCUAUAAAUGAUUCUAAGGUGGUGUUUUUGCUUGGUUUAGGGACCCAGUUGCUUUUCUUUCUAAAUCUAUAUUCGUUGGAGUCAUCAGAGUCACUAUCUGAGGUGGUGCUAUCGUCCUCUUUCGAUGCAAAAUGUUCCUUGAUGCGGAGGCUCCUGGCAAAAUAAUCCAGUUCUCAGACAAUUUAGUAUCAUUCACUGGACCUGGGACUGGACAAAAGUUUAGGCCUCUGGAUAGUAAUGACGUUUCGUCCUCAGUAAGUUGUUUGCUGGAAAGAUUAACAACGGUAUUGAUCUUGUUGCUGAGGACUUGAGGUCUACGUCUAAAAUGUCUGUUUUUGGUUUUAUUAUUCUUUUUUUCUUUUGUACUAAUGGAUGGGAAAGAAGUACCAUCCCGUUGAAAUUUGCAUCUUUGUCUGGAGCGGAGAGUGGCGGUCUUAGUGUUGGUUAUAUCUCUCAGGCGCUCUUGGAUGUUCUCGAAUUCGCUUGCUGUUAGAUCUGUUUUGCAAGCGUGAGACAAGGAGUCAAAUUGAAGUGUUAGGUUUUUAAGAUGUUCAAUACAGUGUUCUCUAAGGAGUAUGAGUAGACGGAGGGAACAAUGAAAUAGGGUUUGAUCCCACCUACGUAGAAAUGUAUCAGACAG
rnacentral:lncRNA from 1 species